CACGUAGGGGGCAAGCGUUGUCCGGAAUCAUUGGGCGUAAAGGGCGUCUAGGCGGUCAGAUAAGUGGGAUGUGAAAUGCCCCGGCUCACCCGGGGACCGGCAUCCCAAACUGUCUGGCUUGAGUAUGGGAGAGGAUGUGGGAAUUCCUGGUGUAGCGGUGAAAUGCGUAGAUAUCAGGAGGAACACCGGUGGCGAAGGCGCACAUCUGGCCCAAUACUGACGCUAAAGCGCGAAAGCUAGGGGAGCAAACGGG
rnacentral:rRNA from 1 species